rnacentral:lncRNA from 1 species
UUUUUUUUUUUGUUCGAUCGCUGGGAAAAUAGUUUAAAUGGUGCUCGGGAGCAGGUCCUAUGGAAAUUAUGUUUAUCAAGAGAUCACGUCGGAUCGUGGCAAGCAUCCGAAGGAUGAAUACCAUUCGUGCAUCAUUCAUAUACCAAAUGCCGUUGCGCUGCGCGUGUGCGAUCAUUACUUAAAUGUCUUUCAACAUCGGUAGACCCAUUCAACUAUUCAUAAGAUUGGAGUACUUGGUCGAUCGCGUGGCUGCCCCUGUAGUGAUGUGAGUCGUAACAUGAAGGAAGAGAUGCAGCCUUUCCAAUUUAUUUUUCAGGAUGAAGAAUCCACUAAAGCAAAGGGGGAAAUUUCUCUGAUCAAUCCAUCCCACCUUUGGACAGCUAAUAGCUCCAACAAUGACGAGACAGAACCGCGUCAUGUAAGGUCAUGUCGGAAAGCGAAAGUAAGAAAGAAGACACAAACGAGAAAAGAGGGACACCGAAAGGUAAGUGAUUUGUCUUUUAGGAUGAAGAAUCCUCCAAAGCGAGGGGAAAAAUUCCACACUGAUCAAUCCAUCCUAUCUCCGGACAGCUAAUAGCUCCAAUCGAUGAUGAGACAGAGUAGCGUCGUGGAAGGUCAUGUCGGAAAGCGAAAGGAAAAACGGAGAAACAAACAAGAAAAGAGGGACACCAAAAGGGUAAAGUGUUGAACCAAAAAAAAAAAAAAAAAAAGGGUAAAGUGACCUUAGCGUGUGGAGGUUGCCAACUAGCGUUAGGGAAGAUAUUUCUAAAGCCCUCGCAACACGUCUACUAGGGUCCGUGAACUGAAAAUUGUUAGGGGAAAAAUUAUUUUUCGAUUUUUUAAAAUUUUGAUGAUGAAAAACUAAUUAAUUUAUGAAAAAUAUUUUUUAUGAAUUAAAAACAAAGACAUUAAAUUGAUGGAAAAUGACUUUCUCUUUUGCCAAGAUGAAAAUCCUUUUUUUCUAGAUAACCAAAAAAACUUAAUUUUUCUUGAAUAAUUGUUUUCAUAAAGAAUAUUUUUAAUCAUAAAAUAUUUACUAAAACAAACGGAGCACCGACGUGGAGAAAAAAAUACUCCGUCCAACAAGUCAAUGCUCGGGAUUAUCUUCGCUUUUAUUUAAUUUAUUUUCCUCGUAGACUUAUUUAACUCCACAGAAACUCCCAAUUCCUUCCUGGCUCCAAAACCUUGAAUUUCCCUCAUUGUCACUGCUUCGCUCACACGCCUCCAUAGCCCUAACCCCAAGCCAUCGGUCAUUCUCCGCGGCCCCAACCUUCUCAAAUCCUAAACGGGGUGUACUUGGGGUUUUCUAUCUAAUCGAAUUGCCACCAAUCAACAUUAUAAAAAAAAAGAAAAGAAAAGAAAAAGCAUAAACUAGGCUGAAUGGAAGCGUAGAUGUAAGUGUGAAAGCAUUGGUCAUUUGCAACUCACAGUCUGCAUGUCGAUUACGUGUAGUAAAAAGUUAUUUUCCACGUGAUACCCUUUUGGCACCUUAACUUUCAAUUAAGUCCUUCGAAUGAAUAUAUCAUUAAUUUCCUGAAUUUAUUGAAGCAAUUUUGCUUUUUUAUCAUAGAUGUAAUCGGGGAACUUCCUUUAUUAUUUAUGCCCUAGUAUGACUUCAUAUGUCAUAUGUGUUUGCUUUAUCAAAAUAUGGAUGAACCUUAAUCUGUAAGGUGUAUAUGCGUGUGCAAUUGGGCAAUGACGUGUAAUUAGAUGAUACAUGCUUAGUUUUGAAAUUGACGGAGAUUGUUAUUGCUUGACCGACUUGGAUUGGGGUGUAUUUGUCCUUUUGGCCAUAUAUGGUAAUGAUUCUGAAAGCUGAAAAUAUCUUAGAGAAAUUAAUUAUAGUUAUUUUCAAAGUUUUUUUGGAAAAUCAUGGAAUGCGCGGGGUCUCGAAUCACAUGAUCCGAGGGACCUUUAGCUCCAUAGCUUUUAGGGUAGGGCCACCCCUAAGAUAUUUAGUAUUAAUUAUUUUUUUCCCAUAUUUGAUAACAUUUUGACUGGAUGUAACUUUUCUGGUCUGAUAUCGAUUGACAAAAUUUGUACUCCCACAAAAAGUUCUCUGCCCCAUAUUUCUGAAAAUGUCUUCUUUUCUUUUUUUGGGACCGGAGGAACCGCCUCACAACGAGCACUUGGUGUAAACCCCACAGGAGCACUGGCAUGAGGGACUGACCUCCCGCGGUGCUCCGCUUAAGUCACGCUAAUGCGCAUGCGGUGACUCGAACCUCCCCCCUUCCACAAUUAGAGGGGGAAAGACCUAAACCAACACGCCCAUAAUGGAGUGGGUCUGAAAAAUGUCAUUUGAUCCUUCAAAAUAUGUCAAGAUCACAAGUAUCCAUUAAUUUGGCUAAACAAAGAUGGUGAUGAGAAAUUAUGAUAUUUUCUCCAUUAGAAAUCUUGAUCACUGUGAUUUUUGCAGCAUUGGGAAUUUUAUAACUUGGACCGUCUAUAGUUUUAAUUGAUUGCACCAAAAAAAAAAAAAAAUACUUGGCACUUCAAGAUAUGAUUGUGAUUAAAAGAGGCAAUAUAUUUUGUAGUGUCGCAAAGUUUUGAUUUAGAUAAAUUGGGUAUUGUCGUAGAACUAUUACCCCAUUUUUCAUUUUGGUCGAACUUUCGACGAAGUAAUAAUUUCGGUCGGUCUUGGUCAAACUUUAGGUCAAAAUUUAGGUAAUAAAUCUGAACCUGUUGAUAUUUGAUAAAGAAGGACAACAUAAAGGAAGUGCAUGGCGCAGGAACUAAGGAGCCAAAAACAAGAUGGUUAUCCAUUUUCCAGUCGCUUUUGCCUCUUCAGAAAUGUGAAUGUCCAUUGGACUUGAGCAUGUCGUUAAAAGGAUUUGACCAUCAGGAAAGUCUAGGUAGAGGCCUGGGUCCAGGGUCUCGAUAAAAAUAUACCGGCCCCAUUGGUUCUCCUGUCCACACCCCCCUUACGGGGGUAGGGGAACUAGCCUAGAUCCCCGUGAAACCUUCCCAGCUGAAACACGCCGGCGUGGUUCAGGGAAAUGAAAGGUCCAUUUUGCCUCUUCAGAAAUGUGAAUAUCCAUUGGAAAUGUGCAAGAUAAUUGUUAAGAAUGACUCCAAAUAGGCGGCCAACGUACGAAAGAACCCACCCCGGAAAAAGUGAGCAAACAUGGACCAUCCACUUUUCACUUUGUCCCACGGAAGGUUCGACCUUUUUCGUGACCCAAAAUCGUGGAUGUUUCGGAUUCCAGACGUGACCAUGAAAUUGCUCAUAGACCAGCAGACAUCACGUAAAUUUCAUAUGUCCAGGUGAGAUGAGUGAGGAAGUGACCCAGCCAAAUACUGCUGUCUCUAGAUCAGCCCAAAAGAAGUUCAAAAAAGAGGAUCUGGAAUUCACAAUUGAUUGAUUGUAUUGGCAAAGGGGAGAAUUCACCCAAGCUUGUGAUGCUUGCGGGAUGUGCUUUCUAUUUGUUGCAGAUAUGAAACCAUGGAGUCCAUUUAACCCUUCAUACUAGCCUCGAACCUAUCAUCUCGGCAACCUAAUACAGCACAUAAUAACAUGGUGACCAAUGGCGUAUUUAGUAACGCUUCUGUUCCCGGAAAUAAUUUAUGAUCAAAAAUGAUUUUUAUUUAUUUAUUUUGUUCUUAGGAACAAUUUAUAAAUAUUUUAAACGUUUGGUAACUAUUCAAAAUUUCAAUUUUCAGAAUAGAAUUGUGUUUGGUAUCGUACUCAAAAUUCUAUUCCAAAUCAUUUUCUUUUAAUUUUUAAAUAAUUCUAUUAAUAUUGAUAAAUUUUACAAAGUCAAAUCAAUUCUUGCUCCAAAAAAUUUGUAUCUUCGGUCCUAUUGAUCCAAAAUAGUCGAUUCUAUCACAGGACCGGUUUGAUGACAGCAUAAAACCAUUUCUUGGGGACCUCGACUUGUCGUUCAUGGCGAAACUGGCAAGAGAGAAUCCGAGGAAAAUUCUGCGAAAAAGCAAAAGUGACGAUGAAAAGGAAAUAAAGCCAAAAAGCAAAGAAAAAGAUGGUGGGUGGGCAUCCUAACGUGGAAAAGAAGUCCCGCCAGUACUUUUUAGCGUGCAUCUCAUGUUGUCGACGAGAUUUUAGUCAAAAGAUUUCCUUAGGGAACCCUCAAGGAAAAAAAAAAACCACGGCAAUGCUUUGUGGGGGCUACAAAUUUUUCAUCGUUGCUCCUUUGCCCCGUCUUUUCCCGUGCUGCAAAGAGUUCCUUUUCAAAGUUAAAUUUUAUGAAAGUUCGUCGCUUAAAUCCUAUCACUCUUGUUCCCAUUACAAUUCAUCAGGCUAGAGCCCAAAUAUUGGCACAGCCCAUUAUUUCCCGGACCUGGGACAACCCCUUGUGCCGAGCUCAAGCCCAAGCCUCGCCGGUGGCCGAGGGAGGCUCGGGCGAGGCCCACUUGGCCACCAGUGAGGUCGAGCCUCGCCGGUGGCUGGGCUUGUCUCCAACGAGCUCACCGGACCUUACCCUGGCUUGGUGAGCUUCCGACGAGCUCGCUAGACCGGCGAUGGAUGACAACCUUGAUGGUGGCAGCAAAUGAAGAAGAAGAAAAGGGAAGAACAACAAGAAAAAAGAAAAGAAAACGAGAAAAUAGGUUCUUAAUUUUAGAAUUAUUCCCAAGAAUAAGAAUUAACUUUUUUUUUUUAUUAUUCUUGAUUCUAUUUCAAAUCUACUUCCGAAAAAAAAAAAUAGAAAUUUUUUCCUAGGAACAAAAAUUUUACCAAACACUGUUUUAUAAGUUGCUAAACAGGCCCCAAUUUAUCCAUUCACCAUUUGGGACAGCCGAUCAAAAUGAAACAAGCCCAUUCGAGAUUGAUUCGUGACUAUGUAGUCCAAACAAAAGCAAAUAAAAUAAAAGAGACGAAACUACUAAAAAGAUUACUGGUAACAAAAAAUCGAUUGCGAAUUCUGCCGAGACAAGAGUGUCUGUUUCAACUACGGAAAUGACAAGAGAGCACAAAUAUCAGUCUCUUAUACAUUAUAUACCAGAUGUUUCUCAUUCUUUGCUAUAAGAAUUAGAAUUUUUAUGCGGAUGAAUAAGGGAGUUCUGUUAAUGUAGCCUCCACCCUUACCAAGUAUGAACAAGAAGUUUUCAACUCUAAAUAAGUUCUCAGUCGUAUCAAAACUUAAGAUAAUAUCUGUAACCAUAGGUUUCCUGUACAAGACAUGAGGCUGAAAGGCAAAAAAAAAAAAAAAAAAAAAAAACACUGUCCAAAACAAUGCCAAGAUGAGGAUCAAAGUGACAACUGACAAGAUCAGCUCAUUCUCGUACCUCUUCAGCACAAACCUCUCUUCAGAUGCUAUAAUGCUGGUGACAACACAUUUCUUGUCUGAAAAUGGCUUCCUACCCGUCCUUCCAGCUCGAUGAAGGUAAUCUAUGGCACUUCUCAGAAGAUCAAAGUUGUAAAUAUGAGUUGUUUCCGGCAGGUCAAUACCUCUGGCUGCGAUAUCAGUUGCUACAAAAAACAUAGCCUUCUUUUUGUCUCACUUCCUGUAGUCCAAAUACGGAGGAAUUAAAUAUGAAGUUGGACUAUACAUAUUUUCACCAAUGGACUGCUUAGGAGGUGCUUAGUAUACCCAUGUUUGGCAUGACGAGGAGUAUAUGCCUAUUUUAACUUGAGAAGGUCUACUUUAGGCAUUAAUAAAGGUCAUGAAGAAAGAAAUAAACGGUUUUCCUAAAGAAAACACAGUUGUAGCAGAUAAUUUUCGUAAGUGGUAUAAUCUCUUUGAUACUGCUUAGUGCUACCAAAUAAUAAUGGUCUGUUAAGGUCUUGCAGCAUCUUUCCUCCUGUCAAAAAAAAAAAUCCAGCAUCUCAGAUCCGCAGAGAAUAAGGAUAAAAUCCAUCUUGUUCCAAAUAUAUUAUAGGACGAACAAAGUUAUAGGGCAUAUCUUUAAUAUGCCAAAUUUCUCAACCCUGAGCAUUCUCAAAGUGAGGGAAGAAACAUCAUUAUGGAAAAAGUGAAAAGCACUUACCGAGAGUGAAGCUGCUCGUGCAUUGAAAUUCAUGUCUUCUUCUAGAAGGAGAAUAUUAGAGCAGCUUCCAUAAUAACUCUUUAAGAAUUCAAGUAGAAGAGUUGACGGUGGUACAUUUCCAGCCUUUUUUGACUUCUCAGACUAAACGCACAAAAGAUAGAAUUGGUUAGUGGACCUGCGGACAGUUGUUUACAAAGGUGUAUUCACGUGAUAUGUGUGUGCUCAUGAAUGCUACAAGCUUCUGUAGAAUGUAUAAAUAAAAGCUGCAUUCACUUUAAUAAAUUCCAAAACCCUCUUCAUGCAGGAAAACUUUUGGGACGUUGUGAAAAUUCUCCAUAUUUGGAAACCAAUUUUCAUUCAGCAACCAAGAGAAACGUCAUCAGAGCAUAAACUUCUUUCACUCGUGUAAAGAACUGCAUAUAUGUUUUAUUUGAUGCCCCUGCAUAUGGACAGAUGACCUUACCAAUAAAUGCAUGAAACUCUCCAGUCCAUUUAUUAUAUAAAACCGACAGCCCAUUAGACAUUUUUAGCUAAGACCACUAAUCACUGCCACAUGAAUUGGGGAUGGAGCCUGCCAUAUCAUACAUCAGUUGACACAUUUCAACACCAUUUUUCAUUAUCCAGAUAGAAAUCUACUGCUUCCUCUCAUGCUUAUAACAAGUACAGCACCAAAAAAUGUGAAUAAACUACGGAAAAGAGAUGCAGGAUGAGCAUCGGGCAGUAUACCUGCUCGCCAACAAAUAUAAUGCCAGAUUCGGGGCUGUCCCACUGUAAUAAAUGUAGCAAGGUCUGAUGUCUCCUACUCCUAUGACAUGUCUGAAACAGAUAGAAGCGUUAAGCAAGUCAAAAGCCAAGGAUCAUCAAUUGAGUACAUGACUAUGAAGACGAACAUUAAAUGAGCAUAUGCAUAACUUCUAUGAAAGAGUCUGUAGAUCAAGUCUCGCAUUCAAUGUCCUCACCACAAAUGUAUGAUCUAGACAUGAUGGCAUAGGCUGUAUUGGAUUGACGUGGAUGUGAACCACAUCACCCUGUAACAGGCAAAGUCAUAUUGAGAUAAAAUCAGUGAGUGCAUGAGUAAACCCCAACAGAACAUUCACAAGAUUUAAAGCUUCAUGAAACCAACCUUAGUCCACUUCUGUUGCAUACAAUCAUGUAAAAAAUCGCUUAUGCUGAGGUAUGGAUGCACUAGCCAAAACAGUUUGACGGUUGUUGCUUGAUGAGUACAAUGUCAACAGCUUCCGGAGAGAGCUGACUUGCUUAGGAGAGUUGAACAUGAAGUCUACCUAGGCAGCAUCAAAGUAAGAAUGUCAGUUCUUCAUCCUACAAUAUCCAGGAAGAAUCAUGUCUGUAUAAAACAAGAUACCGAGGCCCCAGCGGGAUAAUCGCACAUCUUUAAUCAUACUAACAUGGUGAUUACAAACUACCCAAUGAAAUAUACUCACAAAAAAAUAGACCAAUCAAGGCACUACAUGCUAACUGAAUAUCCUUUCCUAACUUAAUUGCAUUUACUGGCAACUUCCAGUGCACUCAAUUUCUCGUCUUGUUCUUAACAGAAAACUGAAAUCAAUGGCAAAUAAGAGAUCAACCUGAGCAUGAAGCACGCAAUCCGUCCCGGAGAAAAGGGCAGGCAAUGCUUCCCUCUGAACAUCAGUCGCCAAUACGUACCCAACUUCCUCCAUCCUGCAAAACCGCCCAAACAUAAAUUUUCCAUAUAGUUCCAGAAACCCAACAUCGGCAAAACAACGUCUCUCACUUCUCGCUCUAAAGUAACAAUCUUUGAACUUGGAAUUCACACUUGCCUCCGCAGGACAUGCUCGGGCACGUGGCCGCCACAAAUUCUUCUCAGCGUGGGAGGGGCUGAUUCUGGGUCGGCUUCGUCCGCCGCGGAGGAGAAGCUGAGGAGGGCUGGCGGCGGCUCGCGACUGGACGUGGAGAGAGGAGACUGACUUGGGCGAGCGGUGACGAGGACCGAGAACUUGGGUUAGGGUUGCGGAGAAGAAAGAGGGACGAAGGAGAGACGAGCUUUGUCGCAGAAGAAGAAGAAGAAGCCAUUGACGAGCAAGAAGCUCGCUCCUCGGACGAGAGCUGCGACUGGAAAGUGGAUAUGAUUCCAUCAACUACACGUGUUGAAUGAAUUAGGCUUCAAUGUUAUGUUUUUGCAAAAUUGAUGGUAAUUUAUUUGAUUUUUGAAUAUAGACUUUUCACUAUUUUUUUUUCUUUACUUCAGCUGGUGACAAGCUUUUUCACACGGGGAUUGAUUUGAUUCCGAGUAAAGAAUUUGAGAACCGACUUUGAUCGAUUCAGUUCCUAAUUCUCGGAAGAGUUGGUUUUGAAUUGACUUUAACAGUUGAUUCUCUAGUCAAACCAAUUCAAAACAAAAUUCUAAAAGUCUCUUAAUUGAGAACUUUUACAUUGCCUCGAAUUAAUGAGAUUAAGCAUUCUAGCACAUAAAUAUCAACACAGUAUUUUAAAAAAUGAAAAAAAGAAGAAGAAGGGCUGAUGCCAUCCCAAGAAUCCAGUUCAAUUUUCAAUUCCAAUAACUAGAAACUGGUUUUAAUAAAGAUAGGUUCAAAGUUCAUGAUUUAAAAAUCAACUACCCUAGCAACGAUCACCCUUUUCCACACCUGUACACAUUUUCUCCCCCAUGUAAUUCAGGAGGUCCAUGUUAGGAAUUUGAUCGGAUUAUAUUGGUCAUCUUUAGUUGAUUUCAACCUCUUAGCUAUAAAUACUCCUCACUUUUUUCUUUUUUCUUUUUAUCUUUUUACAAUUUUUUUUUAUCGCGAGACAGAUCUUUGAAAAUUGAAGUAGCUUUCUUGAGAACCUGCUCAAGUUUCCUGCCGUUCAUAGUAACUAAUCAGGUUGCUAAUGGGAAAAACAUUCAUAUAAUUCACCGUUCAACAGCCUACAUCGGAAUAAAGCAGCAGGAAACAGCUUCCGAUUUCUCUUGCUUGAGGUCCAAUUCCCCUAAGUGAAACUCCAAAUACGGACCAAAGAAGAAGAACCAAUGAAGUUGGUUCUCAAUGGAGUUGUACUUCCAUGAAACCGUGCUAUAGAAUGGUAAGUAGAGUUUACUCCAAAAGUCCGCCUGAAAAAAUAUACAUUUCAUCAAAAGGUAAAACUGAACGGCUCUAGCUCUUUCCCGGAAUCAAGAUGUAAGAUAUACGCAAAAUCAGGCCGACCAAGCUACCUCUACCGACAUUUUCUAUUUGCACAGUCCGCUUAGGUUGUCUGCCUUCCAAGUUGAUGAUAGCACGGUGGCCCAAGGGUUUGGAUGGGGAGGGAUCAGAGCUCCGGCGUCAUAUCCCACCACUGGGUUUCAACUAGGUCUGUUAGACGGUGAAACAAGGCUCCACCGGCCAUGUCCAUGUCCACAACCCCAUCAACUCCCUUAAAUGCAACACGCAAUUUCAUCAAACUCGACACUUUCUUAUCAUCCUUGCGCGACAUGCCGGUCACAUGGAUAACAUCUCUUGGAACUUUACCCAUUAAAUCAAAUAAUAGCUGAUCUAGGUUUGACCGAGUCAUCUCUUCCAGCACCGGAGGUGCCUGCAUGUAUAGAUUCUUCCCCCUAUGCGUGACGCUUGCUUUUGAUAGAAGCAGCCUUGGGUGCUCUUCGAGCAUAUUGAUGAACUGAUGACAUACAAGAUGAAAAAAGAUGACGAGUAAUCAGAUAACUGCAAGAACUACCCAAGUGCUUAGAAACAUGUGAAGAAGGUUACAGAGAGAGCUAUACAGGAUAAAAACCUCUAGCUAGCAUUCCCAUUAAUUUGUAGCGAGUAAUAAACAGAGCUUAAGAACAAGAAAGCACCUUUUGUAGGGUCACUGAAAUGUCCAACUCAAUAAGAACACCAGGACCACAGACAAGGCAAUCCUUAUCCCUCACGAACUCAGUAACUUUAAUGUGAAGUCCUUCCACACCGUUGUAUCUGAAAUUCAAAAAUAUUCAAUAAACUUGCAGCUCAAAGUUUGCCCACUUAAAAGAACAUAAUUGGGAUUACUGCGCAUUUGCAAGCUAGCAACUAGACAAAACAUAUGGAACUUGCAAGUUUUCACUCAUAGAGUAUGGAUACAUACAGACAGCAAAUUAGUAAAUUCAUCUACUGAAGCACUGAUCUUCAGAUGUACUGAUCAGUAACAAAAGCAGGAUAUGACACAGGCUGGGAGAGACAAAAGUAAAAACUAAGAGAUCUCCAAAAAAAAAAAAAAAAACAAAACAAAACAAAAACAAAAAAAUUGGCAUAUUCAUACGCGUCUAAGAAAUAGCAAGUAAGCAAUUCGGCAUCACAAGUUCAUGACUAAGAUGCACUCCAUUUAACCUCAAGUUUAAAGACUCCAGCAUUGAGAACCUUUAAUUGAGUUGCAACAUGUCACCUGAAAAUUUAUGGAAAGCUUGGAACAUAAGCAAUGGAGGUCACAUUAAGGGCCCGUUUAGUAACACUUCUGUUCUCAGGAAUAAUUUCUGAUCAGAAAUGAUUAUUUUUUAUUCUUUUCCCGAUAAUAAUUUCUAAACAUUUUAAGCUGUUUGGUAACUGUCCAAAAUUUCAAUUCCUAGAAUAGAAUUGUGUUUGGCACCGUCCUCAAAAUUUCUAUUUCAAAUCAUUUUCUUUUAAUUUUUAAAUAAUUUUAUUACUUUUUUCCUUUUUUUCUUUUUUCUUCCUUUCUUUUUUUUCCUUUCUUUCUCCUCCUCUUCUUCUUCUUCUUCUUCUUCUUGAGAUGAUAGGCGACCAGCCAGAUGAGGGCCGGCGACCUCACUAGUUUGUCACUGGCCCUCGGCGAGGCCGUGCCUUGUCGGCCGAGCCCGCUUGGCCACCGGCAAGUCUCAGUCUUGUCAUAUCUAGCGAGGUUGAGGCUUGCCGGUGGUUGGGCCAGCCUCCGGUGAGGGGCGAGAUCUGGCGAGCUCACCGGACCUUGGCCAACCUAUCGUUGGUGACCGGCGGCGAACAGUAAUGGCGGCAGUUGAAGAAUAAAAAAGAGAAGAAGACCAAGAAAAAAGAAAUGAAGAGAGAGAAAAUAAGUUUGUUGAUUCUAGAAUUAUUUCCGGAAACAAAGGGCAUGUUUGUUUAUGUUUCUUUUUUCUGUUUCUGAGAACAAAAAAGAAACAGAAACAAAACUUAGAAACACUUUUUUUAUUUUUUCUUCUUAUUUGCCGCCGGCCCUCGUCGGCCGGUCGCCGGCCAUGGCUGAGGUCGGCGACCGGCCAAAAGAAGAAAAAAGAAAAAAGAAAAAAUAGAAAAAAUAAAAGAAAUAAAAAAAUUAUACAAAUUUACCAAACGUGUUUCUAUUUAUUUUUUGUUCCCGGAACAAAUUUACUAAACGCGUUUUUUUGUUCAGAAAUUGUUUCCAGGAACAGAAACAAUUUUUUUUAUUUCUGUUCCGUGGAACAAUUUUUAAAUAGAAACGCAAACAAACGCACCCAAAGAAUCAACUUUUUUUUUACUUCUCGAUUUUAUUCCAAAUCUAUUUUAGGAAUAGAAAAUAGAAAUUUAUUCUCGAGAACAAAAAUUUUGUCAAACGAAUUUCUCUUCCAAAUCUACUCCCGAAAACAAAAGAAUAGAAAUUAUCACUAUUUGGCAAAUUGCCAAACAGAGCCUAAGAGGCUUGAGAGCCAAUGAGAGAAGAAACACAAAAUACAACAGAAUCCACAUAUUAGCACCCAAAUGUUGCACCUGCAGUCCAAUGCUCUGACAGAAGGCUGUUUCUAAAAUUACUCGAAACCUACCCCCGAGCCAGCAAAUUAUUUUAAGAACCCAAGAAAGCUAGCAAGAGUACAUUUUUCUAGACAUCUGUCCAAGAAGCGACAGACGUGGAUGUUAGAAAACACAAAAAAAGAGAUUCAAAAUAAGAUCUGGAACAGCUGACAACAGAUAUUUAACCAAGAACACCUUAUACUCAAUCAAGAAAGCAUGACUGUAAGGAACUAGCAGAGCAAUGCAAAUUGAUUGCAGAGAGACCAUAACCAGAGGGUAUUUUGAAGAAUCAAUUUUGAUGAAGAAUAGAAAGAUUGUUAGUGUAGCAACAACAAAUAGAUUAUGCAGGCUGCCUGCUUCAACAGUCACCAUUUAGGCAUGUGAAACUAUAACAUGUGUCUCAUCUCCAUAAACUAAAAGGCCAUAUUCAAAGAUAUGCCCAAGGGUCACACUAGAUAGUAAGAGAAGAAUACAGGAAGCAAAUUGGUUAACCCUACUUGGUAUAUUCUCAAAGAAUGAAAACACUGUCAGGAAUUUAAAACAGCCCAAGAUGAAAUACAAGAAAGCCUCACUCACUUCUAGUAUAUAAUAUUAAAGGAACCCUACAAAGUUCUGCAGGGUGAACUUUGCCUAAUACUUGAAACAAGAACAAGAUGCCAUCCACAUCCAAGAUAUGCAGGAAACAAAAAAGAAUUACACAAUGAAGCACAUGAGAACUGUAAAAGGCAAGGUAUGACGCACGUUAAGUAGUUGGAUAAAGUUUUGCUGCAUCCAGUUGCAAUCUUCAAGGUUUCCAGAGCACAAGCAGCUGAUAUGAUUGCAUUAGUUGAAGCUAUAGCUGGUAUAAUAUUUUUCACAACACCCUGGAUAGAAACAAUAAAAAUGAGCUUAUCUUGAAAUAGUAAUCUUAGAAUUAAUCACAUGAUAAACGAAGCAAGACAAGUUUACUCGUAAUUGUACAAGUUGACAUUAAAAAUAGGAUGACAAAUCAAGUAGGGUUUACAGCAUGACCUGAGGAAUUUAAUAUUCUCUACCAUUUAACAAAUAAUCAAAGCGUAGAGAACAACUCCAGUAUUAGGAUGAAGCACAAAAUCAUGAAUCUAACUCACAAUACUUAGAAGUUUGUUUUCCCUACUUAUAAGAAAAAUGCUUCCUUAAGAUUUUUAACAUAAUGACAACAGCAAAGCAGAUUUUAAAGCUCAGUAACAUGCAAAAAAGGAAAAUAUCUAGGCAGUUAACAACACUAGGAGAACUAAUGCACCUGAGUGAGGGAAUAAGUCACUCCUGGAAUUCCGAAGAGGUCUGCUCUUUUGACAGCCUGCAGAUCAAGUUUUAGAAAAAUGGAUAGUCCAAAAAGGAAAUUAAUGUCUAGACAAAUCACCAAACGAUUUGAUUGCAACUGUAGUAACCUCGGAAUAAACCCACUGCAUAUGUCCUGGAUCAUCAGGAUCAAAUGACUUUCCACUAUGGACCUACAGGUGAAAAUCCAACACAAAUGACAAAAUAAGAUACAGUACUUAAAUAUAACAGAUCACACGAUGAACGAAUUGGACAGCUUACAAAUUUAGCUUAUCACCUCAUCCCAUUUUAUUAGAUGUGCAUAUUCAAUACAAUGAGCAGCGGUUCUUGGGGUUUCUGCGAGGGUACAGAGAGGAAAUUUCACUUGUGGGGGGAAAAGCCAGAUGGUACACUCGAAGCAUGGGGUGACCCCUGGUUUUAUAACUCUUGCAUGCCCCUUAAAACCUUCCGUCCCACCAUCCACCAUGGGUUUCAUCGUUUCUUCCCUUGGAUUGUCAUCAGAAUCGUAUUCUGUAAUGUCAUUCAACAACAGUGAAGCUCAAUCAGAUUGUGAGCUAGGUUGGCAAAAGCUCCUACUUCCAGUAUUCAUCAGAAAGCAUUAAUUGCCUAAACUAGCUAUUAGUUAGAAUGCAGCCACUGUUAGAUGUUUAAAGAUCAAUAAGGACCAUAUGCAGUAAAUUGAAAUUAAAGCUGGACUUUUGAGCCAAAAAGAAGCUUAAAUUGACAAGUACAACCAAUAUGACUGUACUUACAUCAGCCUGAUCUCUCUUACUUACAAUGGUUACUGAUAUAUAGUCAAAAAAAUCUCUCAAAGUCUCCACCAUGAAUUCUUGGGGCUCCAUCAACCUUUUGGAAGUAUCCACUAGCAUUAAGUCGCAUAAAAAUUUCAAAAAGAAUUUCUUGCUAAAGCAUGUGAAGUUAUUGUGCUUUCUAAACCCCCUCAAAUUACUAAUGGACAAAACAUUUGGAUGCUGAGUUGUAGUACUAUCGUUUCCGAUCUAAUUUCGAGUAAGAAUACACAAAAAGCCUGACCAUACAAACAAUUAAGCACUAAAAUCAAGGAAACUGUACAGCAAGUAUGCUACAGAAGAACUAAAACAUUCAAAUACAAAAAACCCAUACACAUGCGUCAACUUGAUCCAAUAACACCACAAACCCUGUAAAUCUAUAAAGAAUAAUAAACCAAAGAUUUGAUCCCGAAAUGGCAGAUAAAACACAAUUUCAACGUUUAUAAAUCGGAGGGAUCAUGGAUACACACCUAGAAAGCUACAAGCAACGGCAUUUAUGUAGCUCCGUGCCUCGAUCGAGUCGAGACCGAGGACAAUUAUAUUGAAAUCGCUGUAGAAAUCGAGCUCCUUAUCCUCAAUCCUGCAGAAAUGAGGCACGAUAUUCACUCCACUGACUCUUUCCAUGACUCUCUUAGCUGCCACUUCGGCCUUUGGCUUCCCGACAUCCUCAAGCCUGUGAACAUUCCCAGAAAGAAGAAUCAAGAUCAAAUCACUACUCACUCACACCUCAAACGCAAGAAAACACCAUUCGAAAGCAAAUCAGAACAUGUCACAAGGGCGAUUCCUAUAAGGGUAAAUUAAAAAAAAAAAAAAAAAUUCAAACACCUGAACAAGAACUGGCGAUUGAGAUUAGUGACCUCGAUUCGGUCCAUAUCAAUGACGUCCAGAUUCUUGAAACCCGACAGAGCCAAGUCCUUCAACAGCUCGCAACCCAACCCACCUGCUCCCACCACCAGCACUCGCGCGUAUUCUCGAAGAUCGUCCCUCAGCUGCCAAAACCCACGAGGAGUUCAGCUCCAAAACCCGCAUCGACAGUCAAAAGAAACAAAACGCAGUUCAAAUUACAACCGAAGGCAGACGAGGAGGUCUUAGAGGAGGUCUUACCUCGGGCCCAGGUUCGAAGUUGGGUUCGACGAGGUUGCCGGGUCGGAGGAGGAGCUUGUCGAGGUCUCUCGACCUGCUGGCCUGGAGGGUCGAGCCCGCCAUUCCGAGCUUCCCUCCGGUGAAGAGGGCGGCGGAGGAGGAGGAGGUGAUUCGAGCGCAGAAGCAGGAGGCGAUGCUCUUAGGGUGUGCAUGUUUUUGUUUCUCGGAUCCGUUUAAAAACAGAUUUUGUGUUUUUUUUUGUUCUCGGGUUGCGUUUCUAUUCUUUUUUUGUUCUUUUUUCUCGGAACAAAAUUAAAACAAAAAAAAAACAAAAAAAACUUACUUCUAGAAUCCAGAAACACUUCUUCUUCAAGGCCUAAAAAGAAUAAAACUAAAAAAACAAAAUCGGAACACUUCUGGAGGUGGGUUCGUUCGUGCCCGAAGGCUUUCGUUCAUGCUCUCCCUUUUCCGGCGUCUCUCCCUUCUCUCCGGCGCCUCCCACUCGACUGACUCUCCGGCGACUCCCCACUCCGCUGACUCUCCGGCGCCUCCCCACUCGGCUGACUCUCCGGCGCCGACAGGUGGUGCUCCUUCACCGGCUGAAGCUUCCGAAUCCAGGUAAGUUUCUGCUGCUCCUCCUUCUCCGUUCGAAGAGGGCUUCGGCGAGAGCCGCCCCUCGCAAAUCUGGGCGACGGCUGCUCGCCCAGAUCUGCGGCAGCGUCUGCUCGCGACGCUCGCUCGAGUGAGCAUCGCGAGCAACAGCGUUCUGCUCGCUCGAGCAAGCGUCGCUGCUCUGCUCGCUCUUGCCCAUGUCGCGGCCUUACCCUGUUCGUCUCCUCACCGAAAAUGGGCUGACGUUGUCCUCUCUCUCUCUUUCUUGGAUGCAGGAAGAACAAGAGGAUCUCGAAGGGGAAGAAGGGUGGGAAGAAGAAGGCGUGAGUGCUCAAUUCCGCCUCGACUUUGUGGAAAUCGAUUCCUGUUUUGGGGUGCUGGUUCUGCUGUGGUUUGAUCUUUUUUCUUGUCUGGUCUGGGGGAACAUGCAUUGGAUUACGAUGUGAUAGACAAAUUGUUGUAAUCAUAGAUGAAAUUGCAUUGCCUUUCUCCAUGUCUAGUUGUACCAAUGUUCUAAGAGCUUGGAGUUAGUUUUGCUACAUAGUGAAGAGUCAUGUUCACCACUUCAUCUUCUGUUUGUCUCCCCCUUGAUAUAUCGAAAGCAUGUAGAAUUUCUGCUGGUGCAUAUAGGAAAGAGGACAUAGAGUUUUCUAUCUACAAUAACCUUGGCUGCUUAGUGCUUGGAUGUUCUGCAAAUUACACAUCUGAAAAGAGCAUCUAAUGGCAGGUGGUAUCUGAUGAUUGGCACGUAAUCUGUUGGAGCAUGUGCAUUUGCAUGUCGAGGGAAGCAAGAUUGAUCUAUUCAGUAUGAACUGGUUAUGGAGGAUGCCGCCAGUUCUGGAUUCUUGUGCAAGUUGAUGAGUGUUGUCUGAUGCGGCAUAGAAUUAGUUCAUUUAUUGGUCUUGUGAAGUGGAUUGAUCUGUAAAGGAGCACAUUAGAUAAAAUUAAUACUUGACAGUGGAGCUGAAAGUGUUAAGAGCUAACAGUGCACGUCUGUCUGUCAGAUCUUAUGCUAUAAGAAGUUGGAAAAAGGGUAAAGAUGGCUAUGUAUGAUGCUGAAGAAUUACAAGUUACUAGAAUGAUUUGUAGAUAAUUAGAUAAGGCUAAAAAUUCAAUAGGCAGUGCAUAACCUUACGUAUAGUUAGUAGGAAAUAUACCGUAUCAAGGUCACUGUUCAUCUCCUCUCUCAAGAGCAGGCGAUCGUGCACUGUUCACGCCGACUGGUUCCCUGCUCGGCUUGGACGAUUCGGCCUCCCUCUUGCUCCGAUUUUUGGGGGUUUUUCUUCCCCUCUCCUUCCUCCAUCUUCCCGCUCCUCCUCGGCUCUGGUUCGACGGUCUUCCUCCAUCUUCCCGCUCCUCCUCGGCUCUGGUUCGACGGUCUUCCUCCAUCUUCCCGCUCCUCCUCGGCUCUGGUUCGACGGUCUUGCGGGAGCUGCGCACGCUCGGACCCGUCUCGGCUCUGGCUCGGGACGGCUGGGGGGUCCCUCUCGGCUCACGCUCGGACCCGCCUCGGCUCGCGCACCGACCCGUCUCGGCUCUGGAUCGUGACCUCCACUCAGCCCUAGUUCGAGACUUGCGGGAGCUGCUCGGGAUCGUGGCCUGCUCGACUCUGGUCUUGAGGUGGCUGGGGUGGUUCAAGUAUCCCUCCUCUUCGAAGCUUGGCCUGAUAUGGAGCUCCUCUUUGGCUGUUGAUUUGUUGUCUUAGUGGCUCGAUGGUCUCUACUUCGGUGGAACCUCGACUAGGUGGUAGCAGGGGCAAGGGGCCGAGCUCCCCUCCUCACAAGGCUGUGGACCGGCAAGCUAGCAAGCCGGGCCAGCAAUCCCAACCCGUAGGAGAGUCUUCUGUGGCAGGGGAUGGCUCGAGACGUGGGCCAAUCUCUCGGCCUCUUUGGGAAGGCCGUUCUCGGGGUCGAAGUCAAGUUCGGGCUCUUAAUAAGAGGGCCCCGAACAAGCCAGUAAGCUCGUCAAGGCCCCCCCAAGCCCGUUCGUGGGCCAAUGUGGCACGGUUGGCCACAAAGGGCUACGGCCUUUCAUAUAUUCCUCCUGUUGCUGCUGUUGUGGGAGAGAAAGCGGUUGUAAAUUUGUCGGGAGAAGUGCUGCAAGCUGCAAAUCCCAAAUGGAAUGAGUUCUUGGUAGGAUAUUUUAUUGGGAGGAAGCUUCCUUUUCAGAUGAUCGAACAAACUUUGAAGAAUAUUUGGGGGACAAAGCUAGUUGAUAUGUUGGCGGAUGACCAAGAGUUCUACUAUUUCCAUAUUCCGGACCCGGAGUUCAGGAGGAAGAUCCUAGAGGAGGGACCGAUCACUGUAGCUCGGAUGCCCCUUAUUUUACAACAAUGGAAACCCCUUAUGGAGUUGAAGAAGGCUAAGCAAACCUCUGUUCCGGUGUGGAUAAGACUCAAGAACCUUCCCCUUGACCUGUGGUCCGCACCGGCGAUUAGUGUUAUAGCCAGCUCCGUUGGCAAAUCCCUUUAUGUGGAUCAACGAACCGAGGGCACGAGGAUGAUUUCCUUUGCCAGAAUAUGCGUGGAGAUCUAAGCUAAUCGCCCAAGAGUUUCGACAGUGGAAGUGAGUGUUGAUGGGGUCACUAGGUCCAUUGCUGUGAACUAUGAAUGGAGGCCUCUUGAAUGCUCCAAGUGUGGGGUCUUUGGACAUAAAUGUGAUGUUGGCCCGCCCCCUGUUCGGCCUCUUCCUGCUCCUUUGGACACUACUCGCCCCCUUGACCAACCCGCCGAGACUCCUGAAGACUCGGAGCAAGGCUGGAAGCAAGUGAAGAGCAAGAAGAAUAAGGCUCAACCUUUGGAGGGGAUGUUACCCAGUCCUAGUGAAGGAGAGAGGUCUUUGAAUCUCAAGACUACGGCUAUGGAGAAGAGGCUGCCUGGUACUUAUUCACGAAGACCCCCUAGGGGGCCUUUGAUUAUCUCGGAGCAGGGUGAUAUUGCUCUAACUACUUCGGCUGAAGCUAUCACCACUUCGGUGCCGGUAGACACUGCGGUGCCCCGCCUGGAGGUUGUAGGGGGCACAGACAUCUCUUUGUCGGAGGAUGACCUCCUCUCCCCUUGCACUUCACCGAAGGCAUCUGUAGAGGAGGAGAGGCCUACUGAGACGCCGAAGCAUCCUCCUUCGACUACACAGGACAACCUGCUUGCUCUUGCCCCGGAUCCUCCUCCUUCGACAAUUCGGACAGCUCCGCCUAUUACUAGGCGUAGUUCCUCUAAAAGGAGGUAAUGCUCUUGCCCUCUUCUUUUGUAUAUAUAUGUAUAUAGGUUGCUGGAAUAUUAGAGGGCUUGGUGCCUCGCUCAAGCAAGCGGAAGUGAGGAACUUCGCUUUGAUGAACCGGUUGGCUUUGAUCGGGGUAGUUGAGACUAAAAUCCCUCAUAACCUCUUCAAUGCCAUUUCUGGGAACUUGAUUUCGAAUUGGUGCUGGCGGGCUAAUUCUGAGUAUUCUAAUCGGGGUAGGAUUUGGGUUGGUUGGGAUCCUACUGUGGUUUCCUUUGAAGUUUUGUCGGUCUCGGAUCAGAUGAUUCUUGGGAAGCUUUGCUGGUUGGAGACCGGAGUAGCCUGCUAUGUCUCUGUUAUUUAUGCUGAGCAUUCCUUUUCUACUCGCCGACCUCUUUGGGAGGAUUUGGUGGUGAGAAGCUAUUCUCUGCAGGACGUGCCUUGGCUUGUUUUGGGAGACUUUAAUGCUAUAAAGGACCCCUCGGACAGAUUGGGUGGCUCGGACCUUUGGUUGCCGUGCUUCGAUGAAUUUCGGCAGUGUCUGGAUCAGGCGGAGCUGGAUGACCUUCGGUAUGUGGGGUUUCGAUACACUUGGUCGACCUCUUCAGGGCCCUCUCGGAAAAUGAGAAAAAUUGAUAGAGUCCUGGUAAACCCUUGUUGGAGCCAAGUUUUUUCCUUUUCGGAAGCGUCCUUCCUUGCGCCUGGGAUUUCCGACCACUCACCUAUGGUGGUAAAGGUGGAGAACCCGAUCCUUCGGAAAAGGCCGUUCAAGUUCUUCGACUUCUGGAUGCAGCAUCCGGAUUUCGACUCAAUUGUGAAGCAAGUUUGGGAGAAUCCGGGUUAUGGAGUGCUCAUGUUUAGGCUGGUGCGCAAACUAAAGAUCUUGAAGGGUCGGCUCAAGCAGUUAAAUAGAGAUUCCUUCGCCAACAUCUCUGUAAGGUCUUCUGAAGCGAGGGAAGCCUUAAAGCAAACUCAAGUGGGCCUUCUCAAUGACCCUACUAGCAUGGUCCUCGCAGACCUGGAGAGAGCUCAGCGGCGUACUUUAGUGGAGCUUAGGUCUCAGGAAGAGUCAUUCUUUAGACAGAAAGCUCGUAUAAGAUGGCUCAAAGAAGGUGACCGGAACACAAAGUUCUUUCACCAGUAUGUCAGUAAGAGACAUCUGAGAAACAGAAUUCUCUCUGUUGUGGAUUCCUCAGGUAACCAAAUCACUGAGCCUCAAUUGGUCCAAUAGCAUUUUGUGGAGCAUUUUCAUGAUUUCCUUAAGCCAAGGAUGGAGCUGGACACCCCUCAAGUAUCGGAGAUUCGGGAAGUUAUCCGCACCCAGCUGAAUGAUGAUCAGAUUUCUUUUCUUGCUCGCCCUGUGUCUGAUCUGGAGAUUCGAGAUACUCUUUUUUCCCUUGCCAAAGGUAAGGCACCAGGUCCGGAUGGCUUCACGGCUGAGUUCUUCAAGGAGAAUUGGGAUACGGUGGGUCAGCUGGUCACAGAAGCCGUCAAGGACUUUUUCACAUCGGGGAGACUACUCAGAGAAAUCAAUAACACCAUUUUGGUCAUGGUUCCGAAGGUUCCCACUGCGACUACCGUUGAUGAUUACAGGCCUAUUGCUUGUUACAACACGGUCUACAAGAUUAUUACCAAAGUGAUGGCGAAUAGGGUUGCAGCAGUGCUAAAAGACCUUGUCAAUCCGUCUCAGAGUGCCUUCGUCAAGGGACGACGAAUUAGGGAUAAUAUUCUCUUGGCGCAGGAACUUUUCUCUAAGUUCCAUAUCGAACCAUAUUCUCCCAAGUGUGCUAUCAAAGUCGACUUCAGAAAAGCGUAUGAUACCGUGGAUUGGCGGUUUCUCGAGAGUGUACUACUUGCUUUUCGAUUUCCUGAUCAAUUGGUUCACCUCAUCAUGACCUGUGUGAGGACUCCUCGGUUUUCCAUCGCGUUGAAUGGGGAGUUACAUGGUUUCUUCCCUAGUGGGCGAGGCUUACGUCAGGGAGACCUCAUCUAUCCCUACUUAUUCACGUUGGUUAUGGAGGUGCUCUCUGGGAUUCUUGGGAGGUGCUCGCUACAGCCGGAUUUCAGAUUCUACUGGAGAUGUAAGACUACUUGCCUCUCGCACUUGUUUUUCGCGGAUGAUGUCUUUCUAUUUUGCGAGGGCCACCUGCCAUCCGUGAAGCUUCUCAGGGAUGGUCUCCAUAUGUUUUCUUCUUGGAGCGGACUUUUCCCAAACCCAAGGAAAAGCGAGGUGUUCAUCUCGGGAGGCUUGCCGACCUUGAAAAAUCAAAUCCUCCUGGAGCUUGGCUUUGUUGAGGGUAACCUUCCAGUCCGUUAUCUUGGGGUUCCAAUUAUCACAUCGAGGCCUCGGAAGGCAGAUUGCGUUGAACUUGUGAGGCGCAUCACCUCCAGGGUGCAGUCCUGGACUCAUCGGUUUCUUUCUUUUGCUGGCCGACUUCAGCUGAUCAGGUCAGUCCUCCAUGCCAUUCAGGCUUUUUGGGCAAGUGUCUUUAUUCUUCCUGCAGCUGUACUGGACCAAAUAGAGCGCAUUCUCAGACAAUUCCUUUGGAAGGGACCUGAGUUGGGCAGGGGGGGUGCCAAAGUCUCAUGGGAAGAUGUAUGCCUUCCUAAAGUGGAGGGAGGUCUUGGUAUCCGGAGAUUGUGUGAGUAUAAUAAGGCGGCCAUGCUCAAGCAUAUCUGGAAUCUAUUUUCAGAUAAAGAAUCGUUAUGGUGUAAGUGGGUCCACUCGACCUUCUUAAAAACCAAGAACUUUUGGGUAGUUAAAAAGCCAACCUGCUGCUCUUGGGCGUGGAAAAUUUUUUUACAACUCAGGACAGAUUUCCGGCUUCACUUCCACUGGAGGGUAGGCGAUGGAUUAUCAACGUCACUCUGGUUUGACAAUUGGCAUCCCAGGGGUCCUUUGAAUUUAUAUUUCACGGAUCCCCUCAUCUACAGCUCCGGUCUCUCUAGGCAGGCUUUGGUUGCCGAUCUCUUCUCUGAGGAUGGACAAGCUAUCAGAUCAGAGAUUGAGUCUUGGGGUUCGCCGCUUCCUUCCUUGUCUGGAACCCAAGAUCGGUUCUGUUGGAGGGAGGACUCGACGGGCUUGUUCUCGGUGGCCUCGGCUUGGGAGGCCUUAAGGAGGAAGAAGGCCAGAGUCAAUUGGCAUUGUUUCAUUUGGAGUAAUGCCAUCCUGCCUCGCUACCAACUAAAUCUGUGGCUCAUCACCAAGAGGAGGUUACCUACUCAAUCUCUUCUCAUGUCUUAUGGUAGGAUUGAUGCUGCUUCCUGCCCUUUUUGCAACGAGGUGCCUGAUUCAAUCAAUCAUCUCUUUUUUGGUUGUCGCAUUACCUCGAGUAUUGCCUUUUUCUGGGCUACUAGAUGCAAUCUCCCCUGGACCAACAGGACUUGGGAGGAGACUCUCAGUUGGGCCAUUACCUUGCUUAGCGGCAAGGAGUUUUAUAAGCGUGUUGCCCGGUUCUCCUUUGGGGCGCUGUGUCACAUCAUCUGGAGAAACAUGAACAAUAUUCUGUUCAGGGGGGAACCGUUAUCUAUUUCGGCCAUGAAGAAGCAUCUCCUCAAGGUUGUUAAGGAUAAGGCCCUUACCUUUGAGAAUGUUGAGGACUCUCCCAGGAAUAGGCGGAUGCAACGCUCAUGGGAUGUGGACCCCAUUAUUUUCGCUUCCUCUGAUUAUAGUCUGACUUAGGCUUUUCGGUGGUUGUUUAGGUGUUUUUGCCAGGCUUGUUUUGCCGUUGGCUUGCUGUAGGUCGUUUUGUUUGCUUGUCCGCGGCUUCCUUUCACUCUUAAUGAGCGUGUUCAUUUUGAGUGUAAGCUUUUGGAGCCGUGUUGUUUGUACAGUUUGACCCCUAUUAAUAUAUUGCUUACUCUUACCAAAAAAAAAAAAAAAACCUUACGUAUAGUUUUGAUGAUACAUCAAAACCAUGCCAAAGUGGCGAGUCAAUUGUCUUUUGGUGCUUGCCAUGCACAAAUUAGGAAACGGCCCAUGCUUGCAUAGGGAGUUCACUCAUUCCAGUCAUGCUUAUGGAUUAUGGCAUCUUCUUUCUCAUAUCAAUUUUAUGUUCAUUAUUACGGCCUUUAAAUCCUUUUUUUUUUCGGGGGUGAGUCUAGGUAGAUCGAGAUGUUACUCUAAGUGAGGCUCUUCUUAGCUAUGACAAAUGGCUUGGAAAGAAGGGCAUAAAGAACACAAAUUUCACUGUUGUUACCUGGUCCAACUGGGAUUGCUGGGUGAUGUUGGAAUCCGAGUGUCGAUAUAAGAAAAUUCGAAAGCCUUCUUACUUCAACAAGUGAGUUGAUGAUAUGUAACUAGCAUGCAGACUUAGAUUCUUUGAUGCUUAAUUUUGACAUUUUCUCUCUUCCUUUCACUAGAUGGAUUAACCUAAAAGUCUCAUUUCAGGAAGUUUUCGGAGGUCUAAGAUGUAAUCUUAAGGAGGUGGUUGAGAUGGCUAGCUUGACCUGGCUCGGGCGUGCUCAUUGUGGUUUAGAUGAUGCAAAAAACACAACUCGCUUGCUUAUGGUUCUUUUGUGCAGGGGAAUCAGAUUUUCCAUCACCAACUCUCUAACAUUGUAUGACAAUGACCAUACUCUGAUAUCAAAGCACUCUCCUCCCCAUCAGCCGCACACACAGAAGGAUUUGCGGGGUCCUCAAUCACUAUAUAAUCCUUGUUGUUUCUGUGGCAUCAAGAGCAGCGUAGGCUUUGUUCGGAACCCAAGUACAAAGCAAGGGAACUUCUUCUUUUGGUGUGGCAAUUGGGUUGCUGCGAGAGGUUGCGGAUGCUGUUAUUUUCAGUGGGUGGCUUCUUGACUGGAUGUAACUUUCCUGGUUGACAUCUUCGGCUUUCUUAGGUGCUCCCUAUCACAUUAGGUAGGAACCGCAUCGGGAGCUUCCAUUUAAAUUAGUUGAAUGACUUUAUGAUAGUUUUUUUUAACUUGAUUGAAAGAAAAACAAAUUGAGUUGGCACACUGCUGUUGAAAGAUUGCGAUACUGAUACGUAAGAAAACUGUCAUCUAUUGUUGAAGAACUCUUCUCUAUAAAGCUGACAUCUUGUUGACUUGUGAAAUUCAUUAAGGAGUUGGUACAGCUGAUAUGAUUUUUUGGUAACUAGCAUGAUGAAGAAUGGAAAUCUAUUGCUGCCGGUCCUCUUCGCUCCUGUUACGUUGCUUGGUAGGCAUCUAUAGCUAAGUAUGUUGGUGAGGGCUACACUGAUGCUAGCUCUGCAUAAGCUAAGACCCUGCAUGUUUUCAUUUCUGAAAAGUGUUCCUGGAACACUUUUUUAGUUUUUUUGUUCCCGGAACACAAAAAGAAUAGAAACGAGAAAAAAAAAAGUUGUUUCUUGUUCCAUAAACAAUUUUAAAGAAACGCUUCUCUUUUCUUCUUAUUUUCUUCUUCUUUUUUCUUUCGCCGGUCGCCAACCUCGGUCAUGGCUAGCGAUCGACCGUUGAGGGCCGACGACGCCGUCGAGGGUUGGCGACCUUGUCGGAGCGUCGCCGACCCCCGAUGAGGCCGAGCCUCGCCAUGGCUGGGCGAGCUUGAGCUCUCUGGGGGCCGACGAGCCUCGCCGUGGCUGGGUGAGGUUGCCGGCCGAAAGAAGAAAAAAUAAAAAAGAAAGGAAAAAAUGAAAAAUAAAAUCAAAAUAUUAAAAAAUUAAAAGAAACAAAAAAAGAAUAAAAUUUACCAAAUGUGUUUCUGUUCAUUUUUUAUUUUCGAAACAAGUUUACCAAACGCGUUUUUUUAUUCAAAAAUUGUUUCUCGGAACAGAAACACUUUUUUUUUAUUUCUGUUCGCGGGAACAAAAAAAAAAAAACAGAAACGUUACCAAACACUCCCUAAAAUACGAGGUGAACCUGUUAACUUUCUUUUGCGGAGGCUUUUUAUAUCAAGAUCCAUCAUAUCUUCACUUUGAAUGUCCCAAUCACAAUCGCAACCUCAUGAAGGCCUCCAUAAUAACCGAUGCAUCAAUAACAACAGAUCAGAUCACAUUAAAUCUGAAGACACCAAGUAUGUCAUAUGAUCAUGUUCAGAAUGUUUGUCUUCACUCACCAUGAAUAAAAUUAAAUUAAUUAACAUUUUAUGAGAAUGAGAAUUCAAUAUCAAGUUUAAAUUUUAUUAAAAAAAAAGAGUUUUUUUUGAAAAAUUUGAAACAGAAAUUUUGUACAGUUACCGAACAUAUUUAUGUUUUUUUUUCUAUUCUAGGAACAGAAAUUGAGUGCAAUUAGCAAACGUGUUUCUGUUUUUUAUUUAUUUAUUUUAAGGACAGGAUUUUUUUACACUUACCAAAUGCGUUUUUUUUGUUCAAAAACUGUUCCCCGGAAUAGAAACAUUUUUUGAACAGCAACGUUACUAAACGCGCCCUUAACUUUUGGUUUCCGAUUCCAAAGGGACCGGUUCGGUUCCCGAUUUCAAAUGGACCAGUUUCGGUUUCCACUUCCUUUUUUCUGGGAACCGGAACCGCUUAUGGAACCUGUUAUGGAACCGGUUAGAACUCAGACUUAGGGCUCCAAACGAAAAGCCCCAAAUCUCUCGACGCUUUCAGCCUUUCUCAGUUUCACUCAUAGUUUCCCCCGGAACUCGCCCUCGACGCCGCGCCAGACGCCGCUCGCCCUCGACGCCGCGCCAGACGCCGCUCACCCUCAACGCCGUGUCGGACGCCGCUCGCCCUCGCCAGACGCCGCUGGACGCUAGUCGCCGACGCUGCUCGCCCUAACCCUCAGGUCCCUCGCCGCUCGACGCCAGUCAAAGUCUCUCCCGUUCUCUGCCUCUGCCCGUCGGCGACGCCGCCGCCGGACGCCGCUCGCCCUCGCCGGGGACGCCGCUGAACACCAGUCACCGACGCCGCUCGCCCUAACCCUCGCCACUCGACGCCAAUCAGACUCUUAAUAGUUCUCUGCCUCUGCCCGUUGCCGCCGCCGCUCGCCCUCGAUGCCGCCGCCGCCGAACGCCGCUCGCCGGCCCAGUCUCGUUUGAAUCUUCUCCGCUAGUCGUAUCUUCGCUUGUGAACAAUUGUAAAAGCUUUCGAUCACCAGCUCGUAUGCUCGUUGCAGUCCCGGCUUAGCUUAAAAAAUCCAGGUAACCUGUUCUCUUUGUGCUGCCCUGUUUCACUCGAAGUCUAAGCUGAAGCUCGAUUUCUUCAGAUCAGAGGACUAUCAGGGAAGAGACGGCAACUGAUAACCUGGUUCAGAGGACUAUCAGGGAAGAGACGGUAAUUGCACUGUCAUAACCGUUGCUCACCGGAUUCCCACUGUCAUGAGUAUUCAUUUUUAGGUCCUUAAAAGUAGCACUACCAAUUGUGUUCACAGAAAGCUGAAAAUUAUGAGUAUUCAUUUUUCCCCUCUAGUCUCUUAUAAGAUCUGUUUGAAGGACUCCCAAUAUGGGAAAAAUAGGAAUACUCUUUCUUGCAUUUGAACAACGUCAUUAUGAACAGUUUAUUUUGAACAAGCUAUGCGUUCAACAUCUGCUACUUUUAUCCUACAAGUAUUCUAAUUUCAUGGUUAGCUCAGCUUUGAGGUUUCUGUCCAGCAACUUUUAGUGGUGUUGGCUUUUCUUUGUCUUGUUUUCAAUGCUAAAUCUCAUGAAUGCUGGGUUUCCCCUUGCACUUCUUUUGACUUGGCUAGUGUUUUCAGUGUAGCCUGGAAAAUUUACAUGUCAAUCAAAACUAUUUGCUAAAGGCAGUUUCUUGCAUGGUGCCAGCUAAUCAACCAUUUUAUGGCCCUGGAGAACUUUAAUACGUUACCACAAAUUGCGAUUUCCUAGGUGUGCUGUGUGGACUGUUGGCUAGCAGUCAUUGCUGAAAAUUGAUUUUAAAUCGUUUGCUGUGAACUAUUGUCGUUCAAACCAUUUCAUUUUCUAUGGACUGUUUGCAUUGACAGGUUCAUUGAUGAUAUUCCUUCAGGGAAUUGUAUCUGUAUACAAUGGUAUGGCUAGAUAUAGUUGUGACCUGUAUCUCUUGCAGGUGUAAAAAGAUUCGUAUACAUCUUUGCAGCUGACUUUGGUGUCGUGAAUUAUUUACUCCAGGGAUAUUAUGAGGGAAAGGUAUUGUCUAUAAAAUUUACAUCUUGUCAAGUGUACAGAAUUUGGUAGUUAAAGCUUCGAUUAUUGGGAUGCCUUAUUUAUUAUCCAUAAAUUUGCUCUAAUGCUUUUUGAUGAAGCUUUUUUCAAGUGCAAGUUUAGUCAGAUAUGAGUGAAUGCUUUCUGAGUGCAAUGCCAAAUCUAUAAGCUGGAUUCAACUGCUUAAUAUAUAGAUGACUUAUGCUUCACAUCAGCUUGAAGAAUAAUGAGCACUAUGUUAGAUUUCGAUCUUACUGAUUUCUCUUUCAUUUAUUUUGGCUACAGAGAGCUGCUGAAACAGAGCUGCUGACAAAGUUCCCUUAUGGAGGUGAUAUAACUGUUUUUCCUUUACUUGUAAAUAGGCCAUGUUAGGAAUCUGCACACUAAAAGAGCUAAUGAUUUACCAAAGUGCCUUGCAACCCGUACCUGGAUGGAUUUGUAUAGAAUUGGGGUCAAUAACUCUUGAGCGAUUAUCUUAUUGUUGGAUUAAGAUUGAUGUGCUUAUGCAGGCCCUAUGGUUUUUAAGUGCAUGAACGGUAGAAGUCUUGUAAGACCGACUGUUGAUGAUGGAUGUUGUCGCGCCGUUCUAAUCCCGUGAGUCUUGUGGGUAUCAACCUAGAGUUUUCUGAACAGUGCUUGAUGAUGCAUGUUGUCGCGUUGUUCUAAUCCUUUGAGCCUAACUGUCAAUUGUUUGACUUUUCAAAUCUGAAAAUGAAAAAAAGAACAUGUUGGAACCUGGAACCGACCCUGGAACCUGUGACAGGUAGGUUCUAGGUUCUUGAUUCUAACGGGUAGGUUCUAGGUUCCGGAUGGAACCGAACCGGAACCGAGAACCGCUCAGCCCGAUCAACUAGCCAUGAUUUUGCAGUGCGCCGGAGCUCUCCGUAUAUCAGAAAUGGAGACAUGAGAAGCUGUGACCAGUUGAGGCCCAGGCCCACUUCUAAACGAAAUCAUAAGCAGCGUAAAAUGUAUACUAUACUCAAUCUAAACCGUUGAAGAUAACGAGGUUACUGAAUCCUAUUAAAUUUCACAUUGCAAAUUAAAUUUAGCAUAUAUAUAUUUAUUCACUCGAGAGACUAGCUCGAUUAAUUAUUUUUCAUUUUUGUUUUCCCUUUUGUAAGUUCGACACUGACGAAUCCAAUUGGAUUCAUUCAAGAAAACGAGACUUCCAUGAAAUUAGAAGACAUUUAGGGAUAAUCAGUCCAGUCUAGCAGGGUUUUAAUGAAACUGAUCCCUUUUUAUUUUCACUACUUGAUGCCAUAUGUUCAAAAACUGGAAUUGUGUUCCUCACUGUUUUUUAAGAAAAAGAUGUAAGUAAAAAGACCCUAAUUAUGUGCUCAUAUCUCUUCUACAAUAAAUAGAAAUUAAAAAGUAGAUCUAUAAACAACAAUGACCUAAUACACUAACUGAAAGGGGAAGAGACCAACCCUAUACAUUUUAUUGUAAAACGAACCUUUUAAUGAGUUUCUAUGUACAAUGAAUCAGGUGACAAAUUUGAGAUAUUGACGGAAGCAAUGACAAGUAGAUAGUCAUUGUCUUGUAGCUUGUGCUACCACUGGAUGAAAAAUGUUUGGUCCAUAUUUUAUUAAUUUUUUGAAAAACUUCAAAAAAAAAAAAAAAGCAUAUGUAAUUGGUCUAGUCUAGUCUUGUUCUCCCUUAGAAUUGAGAAUUGGACUGUUUGGACAGCGGUUUCACUUUUAGGAAUCGGAAACCAAACUGACACUCCUAGGGUUACUAUUCAUGACACACCCCUAGUAACAUUAAUCUGUAGGGUUAUGAAACAAAUUGAUGUUCGAGCAUGAUAUUACACAAUGACAUGGACGGACAAGGAUCGGUGAGGAUUAUGUGGUUUGGCCUUUUGUUACCGUAUUUGAAGUUGCAAAGUACCAAGGAAAUGAAGUGACACAUAGUAAAAUCACAUUAACGGCUUGAUUCCUAAGGGCGACCGACUCUAUACAGUGUCAAUAUCCAUACCCUUCAUUUGCCUCCAACAUUAGAUUUAGUUUUCUUGCACAGAGAAAAUGACAGUACGCAUUAGGGAAUAGUACAGCGUUAAUCAUGUCUACAUCUAGUGGAUUUGAUCGACGGGAUUUUGCAACACUUGUUCGCAAGGAUGCUUCGUGUUUACUGCUUCAUCGCUUUUGUUUUCCAACAGGGUCAGUCUCCUGACUCGUGAGCUGUGACCCUUUCUAUUUCUCUUCAUGUUUUCUUCGAUUUUGACCCUCUUUUUCUUCCACAUAACCGAGGACUCUAGUUUGCAGCACUUGUGCAGCUGGCCCCCUUCAAACACUAAUCGUCGGACGAGAUCUCGCAUUUGAUCUGCACACCAGAUCAUCUGUAAACUUGUUGAUACAUUGAGACCUAAGUGGUCCUUAUUUGAAUACAAGGUCAAGAGGACUGACCAAAGUUCCUAGUCACAAUUUGUGAAAUGAAUAUCGCCUAUUUCAUGUCUCUGAUUGCUACAACACACUAGAGCCUGUAGCCAAAUUUUGCUAGGACUUUCUAGAUCAGCCCCUAAAAGCGAGCUUGGUUUUUCGCUUUGUAUACCCUGUACAAGUAAAUUUUGGUUCCCCCCAACGCUAAUCCUAGGAUUCUAACAAAAAUGUCCUUCAUCUGAAUAGACUCAACAGAGCUGUACACCUGCUCUUAAACCUUCAUGAACUUGAUCAUCGCUGCUGCUGUCUUUUCGAUUCUUGAAGCAGUCAUCGGAAUCCAUCAUCGGUGCCUCACUUUGAUAAUUCUUAUGUGAGGUUGAUUUACAUGUGAACUCACAACUCGAGCGUUCUUGCAUCAUUUUUGCGCCCCAUGUGCCUGUUGAGAACUUUCAUGCUUUAAGUAUAGUGCAAAGAGGAGCUCAUUCCAUGAGUCUGGCACUCCGGGCAGGCACCAAUGGCUGCAAUCCUGCCGGCGAAUAGAUGCAGGGCCUGUGGGAGGGCCGAUGUAGUACAAGGAGGAGUGCCCAUCCUUCCUUUGCGAAGUCAUGUGGGUUAUGUUCAGUAUGUUCACUUUGAUAGCCUCUGAAGCGUUUGAGUGAACUGCCAAUUUGUUGGUGAUGCUCUUGUAGUGCAGCCAGUUAUCUGAUGGCACGAGCGAGGAGCCCAGCUCGGGCAAUGUCUCCAAGUGACAGCUCCCACUCCUCCAGUCACCGCCUCUGCCACAUUUUCAAUAUCAUGAGCAGUGGGUCUCCGUAGUUGAGGAAUUUUGAAUAGUAAGGGAAAACAACUACGCUACUUUUUGUUAUGUUAUACAGUGAAAUGUGCAAAGAUGUUGAAUGGCAUAUCCAUGGCAACAUAACAGGCCAGCUAUGACAGCAUUGCGUAGAGUUUAGUAGGAAAAAUGCAUCAACGUUCGAAGGAACUCCACUGUAUCACAGGAUCUCAUGUACACCAACAGUAAUAAAACUUUGCAAACCCAAAAGUAGCACAGGGAGCAGGAAUAAAAGUCACUCUCCUGGCAAUAAUAGCGCUAUUCCUGCUAGUUGAAUAGUUUAUAAAACUGAAGGAAAACAAGAAAUUAUGACAGAUGAGGCAAACCUGAAAUGCACUGGAGAAAAUGUCCGAAAGAAGACCCGAGUCUUGCUUGAAUUCACCUCAUUUCUUAUCCAGUGCAGGACAGUCUCUAUCGCUCUCUGAUAUGCAUGUUCUGCUCUCAUUUCGACCUUCACCUCAUCUCCAUCUUGAAAAUAACAACCGCUGAAAAGGAAAUAUUGGGUAUUUGAUAUUAGAGAAGUAUCACUGGAAAGAACAGAGCCCCUUUUCGCAUUAUACAUGUACUUUUGUUCUAUCAGACAAACAUUAGUGCAGAUCGCUGAGACAAUAUUCCCAAUUUCCCAUAAAGAACUAACUCUUUUCUCGAUUUCAACUUGGCAAAUACAUAACAUGGCAUAAUAUAGGGUUGACUAUGAGUACGUAAGUACACUACCACAAGGAGAUGCAGCCAUCAAGGAGCUUUUCCAAAGGCCUAAAGAUCUACAGUGUCAACACAUGUGAGGACCAUUUCACAUCAUACUGUACUCCUUGGAUAUUUGUUUUGCGUGUGAUUGCUUUCUUUCGCUCAAUUAAAUGGGUGCAGAUCUGUUACUAGGAUGCUCCAAAACCUGGAAAUGCCAUCAAAUUUACUAAGCUUUUUGACACAGGUACAGAUCUUCACAGUUUUACUCUAACCGGUUUUUAUUCUAUUCUUCUUCCCCCACAACCAAAAUCCAGAGAGCAAGUAACAAAGAAAAAAUGAGAAGGAUUGCCAUUACCCCCUGAUGGUCUUCUCGUAAUUCCACCAGUGCCCUGUGUUGAGGACCAAGACAUCAGCAUCCUUCCACUUCAUAGAUGUCCAGUCCAUCUGAUCCAAUUUCAGAGUUGUUUUAAUCUCUUCAGGGGAUCCAAUAGGAGGACGGCUCUGCAGUACCAGAAAUGGAGCUCUAUAGUACUCCACUGUGCAGUUGAACUCUCCAAACUUAAACACCAAGUAACCUUUGUGCUUUGUAAUUGGGCUGCCAUUGACUUCAUAGAUCGAGUCUUUGUCAGAGACUCCAGUAGAGAGCAUGCAUAAGAGAGACUCCCACUGGUUUCUUCCAAUAGAGUCUCCGACAAAAACAAGCCGCUUGUUACGCAGCUUCUCAAGCAUCAGUCUUGCAUUAAAUCUGUCAUAGUCCAACAAGCUCAGUAUGAUAUAGAAUGAACACAUAAGGUUGGCGGAAAAAAUAAUUGGCAACUACGUAGCCAACACUAAUUCACCCAAAUCCAAAUCAGAUCACCAGCAGAUUAGUCUGUCAUCCAUCCAGGUGAAAACAGAAGAGUUUCAGGCAGCAGCAAUCCUGAGCUAGAAUUUGUUAAAAUUUGCAUAGAAAAAUAAUUGCAUUUGCCAAUAAAGCAAAGCCAGAUUUUCGAAACAAGGGCAUAGUCAACGUUGAACCAUCUAACAAUCAAUACUGCAGAAUUGCAGCAAUGGCCACAUUGAAGCAAUCAUUAAGCACUGAAACAGAUCAUGCUGCAAAUAACGCUAGUAACUUGCAGAGAGCUCUAAUAACUCAAUUCAGACUGAUCCUGUUUCUAAUGCCAGAAAGACCAAACAAACUGCACGUAGCAGAUCAACUGACUAACAAAAGGAUUCUUUUUUUGAUACAUGUAGUUAGUGCCUUGAAAAUUUUGAAAUUUUCCUGAUGCAUGCUUAGCAGGUGCCUCAGGCCCUCACUACCAUAACCCACUCUCUAAGAAAAAGCUAUGGGCAAUCCUUCGGAUUUCUAAUGCUCUGUUCGUGCUUCCAAUAACCAACAUGCAAUCAUGAAACUGUGUAUACGUACAGAUUUAGACAUGUAGAUGUAAGGCUAUUUUCACCAAUCCCAGCCCCAGCCCAACAUAGAUGUUCCGAACUUGCUUCAUUGCAAUCCCACAUAUUCUCCAUGAACAGAAAAGAAAAGGGGAUGAGUUGCACACAAACACGAACCUGGGCAAGUUACACCCUUUGGGUUGCCAUCUCCACUUAGUAUAGAAAUGAUCAGGACGGCCAUUCUCAGAGCACCUGAACCCCUGAUCCAAAAACCCGCAAUCUCUCGACUGAUACAGCGGAUAGUUAUCAUCCCAGACCCAAUCACCCUCAAACACAUCACACCCAUCACCCUCCUCCCCGAGAAAAUCCACCCUCUCGACGUCAUCAGAGCCGUUCAACUUCAAGUUCAACCACACCAGACUCUCCAUCCGGCCAGAGUACCCGAAGAACCCUCCCACCCGGACCCCGUCGUUACCAUGAUCCACGUGAUAACCGAAGAAGAAGAUGAAACAGACGGUCAAGAAAGCGAAACCCAAGAGCCCCAGGGACUGGGCCACGAACUUGAAGUGCUUCGAGCUCUUGUGGAGUUGGAGGACCACCGGCGUCAUCCUCUCGUGGCCCUGUUCCUGAAACGGGAGGCUCUUGAGGAGCAUUUGCGAAAGGUGGCAAAGAAAGGGAUGGCCUCUUCCGGGUUCCGGGUGCUUGCGGGAACCGGCUGACAGAAUUUUAAAAAGGAAAAGGGGAAGCGCCGGGUUGGGUAGAGAGCAGGAGCGAAGUUUGGUGCGGAAGCAAGACAGAGCAUGCAUCAUCAUGGCCUAUAACGGUAAAGAAAGACGCCAUUCUCCCCAUUACUUUUCGGCUCCAUCUCUUCGCUUUCUUCUUUGCUUGGCUGGUCAGCUACGUCCAGCAGCUAGAGAGAGAGAGGGAGAGAGAGAGAGAGAGAGAGAGGAAUGGGGUGUGAAGGAAGCAAAGAAGCAUUGCACGAGGAGGAGGAUGAUGAUGAUAGCGGUGAUCAUGAAUGGGGUCAGUUUUCCCUCCUUGUUUUCAGUUUAACUUUUUCAGGAGGAGUUCGAGUUUGAUAAAUGGAGCGGUAACGUGGGGUUUGGAUUCGGAAGCAGUUUCCUUCUGCCUUCCGCUAACGGGAAAAAGUCCAGAAAUGGAGAACGUGGAUUUUUGCAGGGGCGGGUUGGACCGGGGUUGACUCCCCGGACGCGGCUUACCGGGUCAGAGUCAAUGGAGGAAACUUGUCCCAUGGUUUGGACUACACCCUCUUCUUCUUCUUGUAUUUUUUUUCCUUCCACCUUUUUGGACUAAUAAGAGAUCUAGAAUAUUUUUUCUAUCGACAUAAAAUUUGAGAGAUCUAAAUGAUGGUCGACAAAACUAUAUUAGAAUUUGUAUAAGAUGAGUACCCUGGAAAGACACCAAAAGAUAAAAUAAAAUAAAGAUGUUAUUCAAACGCAUUGUUAGUAUGGGCAUAUCACUUUACAAACUAUAUUACAAACUCUUCCCUCAAGGGUCUUUUUAGAAGCUCGACGCUUAACACUCUAUAUGGCUAGAGAGGCCUUCUCCUUACCGCAAGAGUCGUUUUCAAUACGGAUCCGCACGGAAACGGACUGAUGUUUCAAUGUCAUAAGAAUUUUCCCAUUAUGCAUAUUUGAGCAAAGGGAGAGUCGUUUUCAAUACGAAUCUGCACGGAAAUGGACUGAUGUUUCAAUGUCAUAAGAAUUUUCCCAUCAUGCAUAUUUGAGCAAAGGGAGAAUCGAUGAGGUAACUUUUGUUAUUCCAUGAUUAACUAUUCCCUUGAUGAGUUAAAAUAUUUAUGAGCUUUCCAAAUUCUAUUGGGUGUAUGUUUUAUGAGAGUAUAGAUGUAGAUAUGUUGUUGAGUAUGAUUAUACCUUUUUAGGAAAAAUUACCAAAAAAGAUCAUAAACUUAUUGUUUCCGUGCUAAUUUAGCAUAAACCUUUUAAUUUAGCUAAUUUAGUCCUAAAUUUUCAAAAAAUUUAACAAUUCAGUCCAUCCAAGUGAUUUAACUGAAAAUUGAUGACGUUGAUGCUAACAGUUUACGUAGCAUAGCUAAUACUGAGGUGAAAUUUCUUUUAGAUUUUUUAUUAACUUUUUUCUUUUGUUAAGGGCCAAUAGGAGGCUGCCAACUACCCUCGCUAGAGGCUAGCGGGGGUUUGCAGCCGCCCUUAACAAUAAAUAGAAAAGAAUUAACAAAGUUAUGAAUGUUUUCACUUCACUGUUGCUUGUGCCAUGUAAAAUGGCAAGCGUUCAUGUUAUUAAUUUCAAAUAAACUAUAUUGACAAAUCAUUAACAAGUGUAGGAUUAAAUUGUUCGAAUUGAAAGAUUUAAUAUUGAAUUAAUACAAAUAUAAUAGGUUUCUGACUUUUUUGGUAAUUUUUCUUUUUUUUUCUUUUUAUCUUUCGUUUAAGUUCUGUAUUGAUAUACUAUAAAAGUCGCAACUCAUGUUCUAAAUUUUCGUUGCAUCGAUCCAGCAACAUGCCUUAAAAAAAUAAAAUAAAAUCCACACCACCUUUGCUUCAAGUAUCCCCCGCACAAUUACACUUAAUAAGUACAUCUAGAUUAUCCAGCUUUGAUUAUAUACAUACAUACAUAUAUAUAUAUAUAUAUAUAUAUAUAUAUAUGUUUUAUAACAUUCAAAUAUAAUAUUUUCGAACAUUGCUAGAAUCCUUUUAUCUUUUACAGCUAUCCAGCAUAAUGCGAAAUCCACACCACCUUUGGUUCGGUCCCGGUAAAUGCUAUCAUGGGUUCUCAUUAUUCACGCAUUUAUUGGCUUAUGAUGCAAAUAAUUAAUAAAAACGAAUUAAAUGAAAAGAUACAUGUGUCUUGAGAGAGACGAGGAAGUUUAAUGCACUUACUCAAGUUGACAGUACAUCAUUGUAUUAAGACUAUAAAUAAUUAGUGAUUUGAUGACACAUGAUGAUUGGCCAUCAAUAAGUAUUAAAAAAAUUCGUGGACCUUGGCGCAAUCAUGUCUAGUGAAAAUUGAAAUUGAAAAUCCUAUCGCUUGAAACGUGAUUUACGCCAUGUUGUGUGAUAAUUAAAUCUAAUUUAUGAAUGCAACGCAUUGUUAAUAUUGAGUGGUAGGAAACAAAUGAAACAUUUUCAACCAUAAUAUAGCCGGCCAGAGAAUGAUUUUAUGAAAAGAGCAAACUUCCACCUUUCUCUAUCUCAUCAAGUGUAUUGGUUUGCAAUCCCAUUAACGGUCCAACUAGUUGAACCGGCCAGUUUGAUCUGGCCUUAAAAAUAGAUACUUUCAAUCUAACUAACAUAUUUAUAGGCAUACAAAUGCCACAUGAUUUAAAGAUGAGGUGAAGUGAAUUAACAUAAGAUGAGACUAUCCAAAAACAGCUGGAGAGGGAAGAGAAAGAUUGGCGUUGUAACACAAUUGAGGAUAACUUAAGCAAACUGGCGGACGUAUCACGUUGAUAAGACUAAACCAAAGGCUCAACCCAUGAAGAAGACAAAGAAGAAGUCGAAACUACAAUGCUAAUUUCAUUGACCUGCCAUGCCAAAUUGCCAAUAUACCAUCACUUAUGUAUAUCAGCAACGUGAUGUAACGUCAGGUUGCUGAAAUACUGCAAGAGCUGGAUACAAGAGGGAUUCUCCUUCAAUGGACCAAUUGGCAAGAAAAAUUGGGAGGCAACUUAAACCAGGAGAACAACAUAUGUAUUCUGUCACCAUUUCAUGUCCUUUUAAUGCAUUCAAUCCCCGCGCAUGAACUUGCAAAUAAUGUAGGAAGGUACAUGGAGUGUGAUGGUGCAGUACACAAAAUAUGAAUAUGCAGAACACAGAGGACUCGGAUUUUCAUCACAGACUUGCAAAAUCGAUUAAAUGAUGUAAAAUCCUUACAGCAUAUAUCAGAAUGCCUGCUUAACUGCCUUUACAUGUGUAUCACUACUUUAACGAACGAAAAUCGCGGCGGGCUAUCUGGUACUUUGACCCAAGCAAUCAGUUGACACAUCUGAUUAGCUCACAUUUCACAGGAUUUUGACUACAAGAGAGGAGGGGGUCCAUUUGCUCACAUUCAGGGAAGUAAAAACAAGAAAUGCUUUUGGAUGAUACCCUGCCAACCGGACAGCAAUUUCAUGAUAGCAUAACAUGGACAUCUCUAGUCCUGAACAGCCUAGGAGAGAGAUGUAAGUAAAGCAUUAAGGCGUGUGUACUAAGCUAUUAAUUUACAUCUACCAUCAUGCUACAAAAACCUUCCUUUGAGAGCAAAAUUGCAUCUAGACUUGUCCAGCAGUUAUACUUGCGAAGAAACCAUCCUUCCCAGUCCUGUGCUAAGAAGUUCAACCUUCAUUAGACUACGUUAAAGUUGAAAGUUGAAACACUUUGGCUUGCAUAUCAUUUAAUAUAUCCCUAUCUUUCCAGACCAAAAGAAGCAGCUGGCAGAAGAUCAUUUAACAGCAAAGAGCGUUUACACAAAAGACAUGAAUGUGCAGGCAAAGCAAAUCAUUAAACAAGCCUCCAGUGUCUGAUCACAGAACCAUCAUAUCCUUACUGAUGGAUCUACAAGACAAACUUCAUGAAUACAAAAGCAGCCCCUCACAAGCAAAGAAACUCUACCUUAAGCAAAACAAUAAAAAAUUAAGGGCGUAAUGAUCAGAUGUAUUACUUCUCAGCACAAAAUGCCUCAUCGGCUGGUUAAAACCAACUUCCUAAGCACAACUUCCGCAUGCUCUCCCUCCAAACACAAGAUUUCUAAUGGAAAACCAUAAAUUCAAUCUAACAACGUAGAGAUUCACUCCACUUAAUGAUUGCUCGUGUCAAGAAAGAUGGCCAAUUUGCUCAUACAACCACUAUACGAGGAGCAGAAAUGAAUUACCAAGAAACGGUCACUGCAAGCUUCAUUUUUUUUCACUGAUAUGAAGCUAAGAGACCCCCAACAGAAGGUAUAACCCGAUCACAGUUUGCCAAUCUAUCACACAUCAGCGAAGGCGAUAUACAGCAGUCUUAAAGAACUGAACAUGUACUCGUUUAUCGCCUCUUUUCAAAGCUCAUAUUUCCAUACCGAACCCCUUGACAAGCUCCGACGAGCAUCAUUACAAGGAAAGUGGAAUCGCGGCUACUGAAGUCAAAGACAAUCAGCAAAACAGCAAAUGAAAUCAAGUACUACUAAAGUCUAAAGAUACACGCGAUUUUCCAUGGAAUGGCACGACUAAACAAUGCCACAGUUCAUACCAGUGCGUCAAAUGAAAAAUGAAUACCAAUUGGACAGAAAAGAACCGUCUUUUCCGAGAAGAUAAACUUUCCCACUUCACCCAGUGAAAAAUUGCAGCCGAAGCUGUCAUUAAGAUUCGCGGAUAAUCGUUCAGCCAUAAAACGCGAGACUUCUUUCGUCGUCUCACAAUCGUCUCAUCCAACUCACGACGAAACCUCCAGAACUCCACAUGAAUCAAGCAAUCAAGAUUCGAAUUCCUGCGUGAUAAAAGCUCGACUUCGGGAGAUUCAACGGCAAGAACCGACCUUUCUUGCUACAGGACUCUACUCGUCGCGAAGAGCAGCAGGAUCUUGCGGAGAAGAGGGAGAAGCAUCGGCGUCGGCGGCGGCGGCGGCGGCGGCGACCUGGGCUUUCUCGAGGAAUGGCUUGAAACCCAGUUGCAGAGUGAGGUAUCCGAAUGCCAACGCCCCGAUCACGACUAGCCCCGACCUCAUCGCGUUCAUCUUCGUCCUGUCCCACAUCUCUCUCUCUCUCUCUCUCUAUCUCUCUCUCCCACCCUCCCCCUCGCUCUCUCUCUCUCUCUCUCGCAAGUUGCAGAGGAAUCGGGCAACGAGGACUAACACGCGGUGUGACUCGGGGUCGCUGUGACGUCGUUCCCUGCCUAAG